UGGGGAAUAUUGGACAAUGGGCGAAAGCCUGAUCCAGCCAUGCCGCGUGUGUGAAGAAGGUCUUCGGAUUGUAAAGCACUUUAAGUUGGGAGGAAGGGCAGUAAGCGAAUACCUUGCUGUUUUGACGUUACCGACAGAAUAAGCACCGGCUAACUCUGUGCCAGCAGCCGCGGUAAUACAGAGGGUGCAAGCGUUAAUCGGAAUUACUGGGCGUAAAGCGCGCGUAGGUGGUUCGUUAAGUCGAAUGUGAAAGCCCCGGGCUCAACCUGGGAACUGCAUCCGAAACUGGCGAGCUAGAGUAGGGCAGAGGGUGGUGGAAUUUCCUGUGUAGCGGUGAAAUGCGUAGAUAUAGGAAGGAACACCAGUGGCGAAGGCGACCACCUGGGCUCAUACUGACACUGAGGUGCGAAAGCGUGGGGAGCAAACAGG
rnacentral:rRNA from 1 species